UACGUAGGGGGCAAGCGUUGUCCGGAUUUAUUGGGCGUAAAGAGCGUGUAGGCGGCCAUACAGGUCCGUUGUGAAAACUGGAGGCUCAACCUCGAGACGUCGGCGGAAACCAUCUGGCUAGAGUCCGGAAGAGGAGAGUGGAAUUCCUGGUGUAGCGGUGAAAUGCGCAGAUAUCAGGAAGAACACCCGUGGCGAAGGCGGCUCUCUGGGACGGUACUGACGCUGAGACGCGAAAGCGUGGGGAGCGAACAGG
rnacentral:rRNA from 1 species